AUAUAUGUCAUUUUCUCUAUCUCU
rnacentral:snRNA from 1 species